UUUGACAUUUUUAACCAGAAGGUGGAGGGUACUGCCUUUUAACUUGUUUAUUUAUCCCAUUGGAAUAUUUGCUUGUAGUAGUAAUCGGCACUGGAAUCCUCUGCGAUUGCUGGAACUUUUAAGAUCACUUGUCGUUUUGUACUCCAAGUGUACGCAUCUCGCGCGCUAACUACUUGGUUACUAUUAUUUUUGCAUUUUUGCAGAGAAUCCCACUACAGUUGUUUACUGAGCGUUACACGCACCCGAAAGUGAUAGCUUAACGAACAUGCGUUGCCAACCCAAUACACAAAGUCGUUAGCAAAAGGUUGAGCGUGCUCUUCUAAAGCUUCGAGGUGAAAAGUAUUUUCCUACCAGUAUGAGUGCCCGAAAACUCUGAGAUGAUAUUCAGAAAUGACAAUUUUUGUAUUUUACAAUCUGGCACUACGAAUUAUAUACUAAAGCAAAAGUAGAAAAAAAGAAAAACAAACCAAAAGUUGUCAAAGCAUACAAAACGUAAUUAUUUUAAAAUGUAUAAAUUUGGAAAUGUUAAUUAAUUAUUUGGUCAUUUAGGGGAAAACACAGAGGAUAUGUGAAAGGUGGUAGAGUUGUUGCUGAAGCAUAUUGGUCACAACUUACCGAAAAACUGAAUUCUUCAGGACCACCCACCAAGGAUUGCAAUGGCUGGAAAAAGACGUGGACAGACUGGAAAGUGUACAUUAAAAAAAAGAUGUGCCACAACAAAAAAGAGAAUUCAAAAACUGGGGGGGUGGUCCUUAUAACAAAUAUGUGCUUAGUGAAAUUGAGGAAUCAAUGGCAGUAUUGUGUGGUCUCCAUAAAAGUGUUGAAGGCAUUAAAGGAACAAAAAGUUUUGGAGAGAUGGAUGUGGAGGAAUUUUUUGACGGGUUAGGAAAAGAAUAUGGGAACAAUACGCACGAUGUGAUGAAAGGGCUUAAAACGAGAAACCUCAGGAAAUAAAGAAAAUAGCCGCUUGGACAUUACAUUAUCGCCUUCCCACUCAGUAUGUCAUUCACCGUCGCCGAAACGAUUUAGAGCACGUACUCCAUGUACUCCUAAAACAGAA
rnacentral:sRNA from 1 species